UCCGUAGGGUGCAAGCGUUAAUCGGAAUUACUGGGCGUAAAGCGUGCGCAGGCGGCUUUGCAAGACAGAUGCGAAAUCCCCGGGCUUAACCUGGGAACUGCAUUUGUGACUGCAUGGCUGGAGUGCGGCAGAGGGGGAUGGAAUUCCGCGUGUAGCAGUGAAAUGCGUAGAUAUGCGGAGGAACACCGAUGGCGAAGGCAAUCCCCUGGGCCUGCACUGACGCUCAUGCACGAAAGCGUGGGGAGCAAACAGG
rnacentral:rRNA from 1 species